GAUGCUCCUGGGUCACCCCCAGCAGAUCCAUCUUCUAAAAUGAAGGGCAGCAGGAUGCCAAAGUCGCGUUGGGGGUGGUGGCAACCUACAGAAUCGAUGCUUGGAAAAUGCUGACAGGGCUACCAGCCAUCUGCCCUGUGGUUUGGGCCAGGGUGCCGUGAGAUGAUGCCUGGGAAACCUGCAGCCUAGGCAGUCCCUCAGUGAUGCGCAAAGCCCUCCAUCCCCGGAGCCGGCUCCACCUCUGGACUCUUCAGUUACUAUUUUUCAGGUAUCCAGGGACUUUUGCUUAACCACCAAGAACAUGUUUUUACUUGCUUGCAUUAUUACUCAUGUCCUGUUAAUACUGACUGAGCAUCCAACAACUGCAAAGACGAUGUGAGAAGGCGAUCAUCUCAUAAUUAGCCCCAUUUUACCACCAAGGAAAUGAAGGUGCGUGCUGUGAGGUUUUCACCCGGCAGGUACCACCCUAGUGAUGACGCUUCAAACCCAGGGAUGUGACCCCAACAGUCAGCCUGCCCACCAGGACCGUGUAGUUAUCAUCUGUUCCCACUUAAAAAAAAGAAUCAGUACUUUGGAGUCAAAGAUUUGAUUUUCAAGUUCCUGCUUUGACACCCCAGCAAGUCAGGUAACUUCUUGGAACCUCAGUCUCUUCACCUGUAAAAUGGGAAUAACGAUAUUACCUGCCUCAUAGACUUGUCAUGAAGAUUCACUGAAGCAAAGCCCAUAAGGUAUUGGGGAGCAUGUUGGG